GCCCGGGUAGCUCAGUUGGUAGAGCGUGCGGCUUUUAAUCAAUACGAAAGUAUGUUUGAACGGCCACCGCAAGGCCCUGGGUUCGAGCCCCAGCUCGGGCG